GGGCUUCGUAUUGUAUUUUUCUUAUAUAUAUGUUGACAACAUUUUUUAUAAUGGUUAUUGAAAAAUAGUUUAGUAAAAAUCCAUUUUUGAAUAUAUGUAUAUUUUUCAAUCAAUUUAUGAUAUAAAUCAAUUUUGAAUUAUUAUUUUGAUUUGAAAUAUGUAUAUAAAGUUUAAAUUUUGUUUUAUGGUUAGUUUAGAAAAAAAAGUUUUAGGCAAUUAGAUUGACUCAUUUUAAAACUGGCUCAAAUAGAUAGUUUUUUAUAAUAUGAUGGACUUUCAAUUUUUCUUAAUAACAUAAGCCCAUUACUUUUUUGCUUAAUAAUACUAUCCUUGUUUUCAAACAAAAGUAAUGGUUAUUGAAAAAGAGUUUAGUAAAAAUUCAUUUUUGAAUAUAUGUAUAUUUUUCAAUUAAUUUAUGAUGUAAAUCAAUUUUGAAUUAUUAUUUUGAUUUGAAAUAUGUAUAUAAAGUUUAAAUUUUGUUUUAUGGUUAGUUUUGAAAAAAAAGUUUAAAUGAUUUGACUCAUUUUAAAACUGACCCAAAUAGAUAAUUUCUUAUAAUAUGAUAGACUUUCAAUUUUUCUUAAUAACAUAAGUCCAUUACUUUUUUUUGCUAAAUACUAUUAUCUUUAUUUCCAAACAAAAGUAAUAUUUUUUUAAAAGACUACAAUCCAUGUUACCAAACACUCUUAUUUUUUAAACUCAUAUACAUGUUUCCAAACAAUCUCAUUUUGUACUUCAGUUUUAAUAAGAUAGAUGUAAUCUCUUUUCUUGACGAGACAUCGCUUUAUUGUUUUACCUUUUGUAAAGAAAAUAUAAUAAUGUUUGAUUGUUUGGUGAUCGGUCACACCCAUGUUUUCUUGUUUCUUUUUUCUCUAACCAAUUGUAUGUUGGUAUUAACUUUUUUUUUUUACAAUGGGAUGGCUCAUCUUUGAUUCCGUUCAAAUCAUAACUAUUUAAAAAUUCAAGUCGAUUGAUAAUUUAUUUAUUGCUUUAUAAAUUCUUUGUUAAAACAAAAAAAGGCUUUAAAACAAUUUUACUCGUUUUUUAUUAACGUGAAUAUAUCAAGACUUGUUGUAUGGGGAAAAUGUAAAGUAGAUCAAACAAAUAUGAUAUUUGGUACAACAAUGGAUCAAAGACUUGGUGUUGCUGAUGCCAUUAACCACUUUCCAAACGAUUCAAUUCAACACACAAAAGCAUUACAAACAAAUGCCAUAAUGAAAUAAUCAAUUCAAGUGAAGACUGAGGCUUGUAAUCUGUAUGUAUACACCAAUCAGCACAUACAAAUGAUAAAAGCCGGUAAGCCAUACAACUUGGGGCAAACCAAACCUGUACUGCCAAUGUCAGUCAUCUCCCCAAGCAUCGUCCCUUUGCUUAUGCCUGGAGACAAUCCUGCUUUUCCUGGCAGCUUCUUGGUCUCGUAGCUCUUUAGACCCGAAUCCAGAAGCCGGUAGCUUAAACCCCAUGCUGUGAGCUAUCAACCUUUGUGCUGUUCUUUGGGACAGUGGUUCCAAAUCUGAAGUAGAUUUGAACAUAACAUGGUCACCCAUAAGAGACACAAGCAACAUGUGUUCUGAUUGUUUCAUUCAUCAAUAAGUCAGCGUUUGACCAAGCGAAUUAAAGAAGAAUGAUAACCAUCGCAGAAAAAAGAAGAAGAAGAAUGGAUCACCUUUUCCAGAUAUUGAGCCCAAAAGAGAGUCGUGAUCAUCGAGAACACGUAUGGUGAUAAAACACUGAACACUUUUGCAAGCCUCUUUGAGCUGUACCAAUCAUCAAAACCACAUCAAGUUUGCGUCUUAGGGAUAAGCUCUAGUCUGAUAUGUCGACUCAGUUAGCAACAAAGGGCACAACUUUAGCUUUGAGUAUUAGCAAAACCUACUCAACUAUGUUAAAAAAAAAAAACCAAAACCUACUUAAUGCGGUACAUGCAUUGAGACAAGCAAUCAUUUAGCUGCCCGUAUUCUCUAGAGGUCUGGUCUUCCUUCUUCAGACGCAUUUCGCUUUAUCCUCCAUUCAUAUUUGAAGAUGUUGUCGUCUGGUUGAGGUCCGUUGUAGCUAAUAAAGGCGCUAAACCAAUCAUUAAGCUCAUCUUUCGAUCUACUUCCUACGGAGAGAGAGAAACGCAAGACUUCACUCAUUUGUUCUAAAACUUUCCCAUAUUAUCCAAAAGGAGAUUAAAAUGCAAAUCAGGGCCCGUCUACUAGGCUUGGAUCAGGAAGUUUUAAAGGCGUUAGCACUCCCCACUCGCGGUCACUGAUCCUACCUCUCUAUUUGCAAACUAGCUGUAUUAUCCUUAUCGACAAUAUAUGGCGGUAGCAAUGAAGUGUAUAGCAGCUGCAUCUUGGUUUUAAAAUUGCGCACGCUGAAGUAAGGCAAUGGGUAUCUCGCCAUAAUUUUUUGAGUUUCGAUUGCUAUACGUAAAAUUGCUUCUGUUCGUAACGCCAUGUCGUUUGUGUCACUUUUUAUUAUUGUUAUUAUUUAUUUACUGACUAAAUAGGAGAGGUGUCCAUACCAACCCGACUAAUCAUUGUGGGCCGGUUCACCAGCGACAGGCAACCGCAACUGCUCUGCGUCGGAGUUAGAGAUCCACGCUACCAAGCCACAAGUGGAGCUAGCAAAUUCGAGAUAGAGGGGAAUAAACAAAAUUGCAAGUAAAUUUUAUUUUUGGCUUCAAAGAGAAUAUUCGAGUGAAGAUAUGUUCUUUUAAGAGAAAACUAGAGAGUCGGGUAUUGGUUUGUACAUUUUUAUACAUCAAUAUUUAUUUUUCAUAAUUAUUGUUAUAUAUUUUAGAUGUAUCAUAAUAUAACUAAUGAUAUUCAAAAGACAUGGACUAAAUCAGGUAAUAUGGCUAUUUUGUUACAAAUAUCCGAAUCCGUUUUAGAUAACAUUGGUUACUUAGAUAUUUUUAGAUUCCUAUACAUCAGAACUGAAUUCAUCCAGAUCUAGAAUGAUCCAACUCAAAAUCCACACAUAAAUUUAUAAUAUUUAAGCGGGAUCUUGUUUCAGAACCAAAAAAAAUGAUACUCAGAGGAACAACAUGUACAUAAACGGAUAGAUAAUGUUCAUUUAUAACUGAUUUUAUAAACUAAUUAAAAAAAAAUCUAUUUUUAUGUGUUUGGCUAAAAUAAGUGAAAUAGAAAGAGUUUUUUGUUAAGUAAAAUAAUUAUAUGAAGUGAAAUUAAGUGGCAAUAAAUUUAGCGCAUUUUUAUUAUUUUGCUUUAAGUUAUUAUUUUAUCUACAAAAACAUAUCUUUGAAUUAUGUUUUUGGCUACGUAAUUUUCCACCAAUUGAAACUCAAAUAAAAAUGUUUUAAUAAAACAAACUAAACCAAACGUUUAAUCAUAUGCAAAACUUAGUUAUUUAACAUUUUUUAUUUUAUAAUUGGCACAAAGUUAAUAUUGAUUAACUAAUAAAUUAAAAUAUGCACUAUUAUUUUGGUAAUAUAAUUAAUGAUGUGAAUUAUUGUUAAAGUAAUAUAAUUAAUGAAAUUGUUAAACUAAGUGAAAUAUGGAAAUACAAUUUAUAGAUACUGCGAUUCAUAUAUCCAAACAAAUUUCAUUAAAACUAUUAUUCAAGUUUCCAAACAAUCUCAUUGUGUACUUCAAAUUUAAUAAUAUAGAUGCAUAUAUACGUAACAAAAAAAGUAAUGUGAUAUAAAUUAGAAGAUUGAUAAGAUAUAGAUAUCAAAUAUAAAAUCAUACUUUAUUAUCAUUAUUAUUUUUUAGAAGAUUGAUAUAAUAAUUUAGUAUUCUUUUGUACAUUAUAGCUCCAAUUUUUUUUUAAAUGACUUAAACUCACAAGGCACCAAGGAAAAAUACAUUAUUUACCAAGGAAAGAAUUGAUCGGUCGGUUUAUUAUUUCUCACUAAGGAAACACGUUUAGUAUCAGCAACGUAUUCGCGUAUCUGACCACAUCGCUUUCUGGCGGCUCCUCUGUAUGCUCUCCAUAACAAAAGAAAUUUCGUAGCCUUCCGAUUCUUUAAUUCACAUUUCCAUACUAUUCUGUCUUUUCCUCUCUCCUCAACCUCAAAGUUGUAUAUUUUAUUGAAUUCUACGGGAGUUUCGACACCUUUGAUUUGGCCUCUGUUGCUCCAGCAGCUGACUAGGAGAGUCUCACCAGCUCCAAUUUGGUUUUUAAAUUGUAAAAUGUUUGGAGCGCAUCCGGAACUCCCUUCAAAACCAAAACAUAUAGCAAUAGAUAAAAAUAAAA